UACGUAGGGGGCAAGCGUUGUCCGGAAUUAUUGGGCGUAAAGAGCGUGUAGGCGGUCCGGUAAGUCAGCUGUGAAAGUCAAGGGCUCAACCCUUGAAUGCCGGUUGAUACUGUCGGGCUAGAGUCCGGAAGAGGCGAGUGGAAUUCCCGGUGUAGCGGUGAAAUGCGUAGAGAUGUGGAGGAACACCAGUGGCGAAGGCGACUCUCUGGUCUGUAACUGACGCUGAGGCGCGAAAGCGUGGGGAGCAAACAGG
rnacentral:rRNA from 1 species